AAAUGCUUCACUCAUAUACACCUCUCAUCACAAAAGACUGACGAAACGUAGCUAUGCCACGGUUGCUGGGCACUGGGAUAAUGUAUACAGUCAACAUUCUGAAAUGCUUCUUAAAAGAGCACUUGAAUCAUAACCUAAAUUUUUAGGAGGGGCAGUGAUUUCUUAUCCACCAUAUCUUGAUCAAACUUCAGAUAGCCUUAACCUAAUAUUUGAAAAGUGAAUAGUUUAAACUCAUUUGUUAAGCUGUUCCUUUGCAGUGGGGUAAUAACCAAACAGUGACAACCAAACAGAGAAUUUUGUAAGCAGAACACCUCUGCCGGCAGCGGCAACCCAGGGUGGCAGCUGUUCUGGAUGAAAGGACAUUGGAAUAUGUAGGGCCAGCUCUGUAGGGUUAGCUCUGGCAGAACACAAUGCUUCAACUCUUCUUAGUAGCAGAAUGCAUCCAAGCCUUCAGUUUGUGAACACGUGCCAUUACGUGGGAAUUUGAACAAAAUGGGACAUUGGAAUCUGCAAACAUACUGGUAUCCACGAGGAGAUUUCAAAGUCUCACAGGAUGCUGCUGUCACAACCACCCCCUAAGGCCUGCGAGGACUCUGGGCACAGCCAUGUGAAAGCCAGCAAUGCUGAAACUCCCAGGCUGUGCCUGGCACGUUGACAAGCUUCAUCCAAGUCAAGGUUUGGGCAUCAGCUGUGCCUGAGGCUCAGAUCAAGUUGGAGUUCACAGUCUCAAAUCCAGUUUCUCUGGGACAGAGAAACAAUUCUGAACCUGGUCUCGUCGAAAGGCAUCCAGGCCUUCCUUUUCUGUUGGGCAAUAAAAAUUUGCCGCUAACAUAUCCAUAUACUGCCAAUCACCAGAGCACAUGCUUCUUCUAGUGGCAAGAAGACUGCCCGGGCAUCAGGAGGCCCGGACCCUGGGCAGCUCCACCUCCCUGGGCCUCUUUCCUCAUUCGUGAAAGUUGGACUUGUACACAACAGCCUCAAAGGUAAACUCUAAUUUUAAAAUUUCACAAUUUUGUCUCUAAUCCCAAAGGACUCACAUGAUUGAACAAAUAAUAUGUGAUUUUUUUUAGCAUAUUUUCAAGUAAUCAUUUCAGAAAUCAGAAAGAACAAAAUUAUUCCUAUUAUCACUUUGUGAUCUAAUUUAGAUUAUGAGCAUCUUAUGAUAAAUUAUCUAAGUGACUAUUAACACUGAAUAAAAAUUCUAAUAAUAGUAAUACAAUGAUGCAAUAUUGUUCAAUACCCAUAAUAAUCAAAUAAACAUCUGUUUGGCAAGCUAUCAGUGGAUGUGAAUUGGGAGUGGAGUGAGAAGGGAGGGCAUAAUUACUCAGGUUAGGGCCAAUUCUUUGUUUCAAUUGUUCUUAUAAUUUCAGUGGAGGUUUUGCAAUAUUCCUGCCCAGAGCUGCUGUGUCAUUUUCUCAGAUAUUGUCAAAAUGGCUGCCUUGCUCCAUCCCAGAAGAAAAAAUGUUUCACCUAAGUUCAAAACAUCCAUUUUUAUCUACAAAGUUUAUGGUAACAUUUGCUAUUAUUAUUAGUAUCGUUGAAAAUUAAUGGUGCAAUAUUCAAUAUUUUCAGUGGUGGAAGCUAUAGAACUUUUACCUUUUUCCCGAGGGAGGAACACAAUAUGGCCCUGAUUACCUGCCCAUUGUGUGGGACAGCCAGGGCUUUCAGUGAAUGGACUUUCCGCUGACAAGCUCUUAAAAGGUUGUAUGCUGGGCCCUCAGCCCUUGAGCAUGGUGAACAUUUGCCAUGGAUAGCAGCCUUGAAAACCCUAUGUCCCAUAACAAAAGGGUAUUUUCCCCUUUUACAGGUGUCAGCCUGGUACCACAGACAAGUUCCUUUCAGAGCACAGCGUACAUAAAGCCUGUAAUUAUCAGCUGCAGGUAGUGGCCACCUGCUCAUGGAACACACAGAAAUGGAAAAAAUGUGGAAGAAUCUGCAGCAAGAAUUUUCCUUUUGAAUCGGGCCUGAGAGGCCCUGCCUCUGAGGGUUUUAGAAUAGAUAUGACUUUCAAUCAGCCACCUUUUGCUUACUGAACUGGCAAUUUCAGAGUCAAAAGGUAAUCAUAAACAGACAGUUAUGGCUUCUAGAACUUUCCUCACAUAUUCAGCCAGGGCACAGCUCCAUCACAUUUCACGCUACCAUAUUUUCUGGGCUAACCGCAUGCCACUUUCAGAGCUAUGACACGUUUGUUUGGUAUUCAGGUUGGUGUUUGAUUACAUAGUAGAUGCUGUUGUGUGUGGCCCAGAUCCCCUUGGAGGACCAAGGUAGUUAUUCUCUCAGCUGCCGGGAGUGUUGCCUGCCGGAGAUCUAUAGCUGAGCCCCUCCCAGGAAUUGCCUUCAGCCUAAGGGAGCUGCCUCGCACAGGUUGCACCCCCUGCCUGUGGUAGCCCAUAUCAGUGAUUGGUCUUCACAGGGAUAGAAGGCCCGCCCCCUUAUCUCAAUUCUAGAAAGCUCUGAAGAGUCACUCCAGGUUCAGAGCUCCCCUGGGGAUCAGCUGAAGUCUCUCUUUUGACUGAACGAAAUUUGACUUUUCCUUUUGCCGCACCUUGCCUCCCUCACUCCCUUAAAGAUUUUGUCAGGGCAUUCUCCAAAUGAACUACCUGUAUGCAACCUAAAAUAGAUUUAGAAGAAAUUUUAUGUUUAAAAUCUUUUUUAAGAGAAAAACAUAAAAAAAUCAGAUGACUGAUCAGACAUUUCAAUGACUAUCUCACAUUUAGGCUCCUGGAAUGAAAGGACCCAGCUAUCCAUUGCCAGCUCCCAUGUGAUCCUAGUCUGGGAUAAUUUGGGACUUGCUGAAUCCACUGAACUUUGUCUACAACUCUUAGGACUGGGCAAAGCUGAAAGUCAGCUUUCUACCCACAUCGUUCCUGUUGUCUCUAGUCCCUUCAAGAUCUCUAAAAUAAGUCUUAAAAUACUAUUUGGAUGAAAUUCCUUCUGCUUCAAGAGGAUAUGGCAGACACUAAGCUGCCAUUUAUCCUGCUCCCUGGAUGCCGGGGAGAUGGAUCUGCACAUAGAGAAGGCCUGAAGUCAUGUCUAAUCCAUUCUGACCUCAGGGUCGGGGCGGGAGUGUCAACUCUUGCUUGUCUCCAAGCCAAAGAAACUGAGCAGGCCAGUCACUUCUACAGAUGGCCCUGGGGAUUUAUCCUUCCCUAGGAGGCGCUCAAUACUACUUGGAAGGUAAUCAAUUAAAGCUAGCAAAGCUCUCAGAUUCCCUGAGAACUGAUCCUAGUUUCCUCAAGUCACGUGUACCGGCGCUAUGUGAGACCGGGCUAGGGCAGGUAGUGCAUUCUCCAAGACCAGGGUCAGGAACGUGAAUGAGGGCACAGGUGCUUACUUGGCUGCCCUCUAUUUUAUGCUAUUAAGUAGAGAUUGAGUUGAUGUGCACUCAACUGUGCCCCAAAAGGUUCUGUUCUCUUUUUAGGACUCAACAAAUCACACUGAAAGUUCCUGUUCCUCGCAGAGUUAAAGGGAUUCCGAGUGGCAGUCUUUCCCUGCCACUGUCAAACAUUUAUUGAGUUCUAGCUGUAUGAGAGAGAAAGCCCCCGACCCCUACAAGUGUAGUGCAAGAAACAGGACACAUAUAGUUGUAUCAGUACUUUCCGCCACCCAUUGAUUGUUUUCAGACCAUUGCCGAAAUUGCCCAUAAUGCUGCACGUUUUGGAAUACCAGAUUUAUGGGUGAUACUCAUUGACCCAAGCAUUCUUCUGGAACAGGUUCUUUGUCUUUGUGUUCUCCCUCAAAACUAUUUUAUUCAUUUAUUAUUUUUUAUUAUUGUUCACUGACUAUUGUGGCAAAACACCCUCUUCUGCCUAUCAGGAAAACUUCUUGCAUUUUUUUUUUAAAAACCAUUCAUCUAUUUUUAAAAUUGGUGAUACAUUCAUAUGAUCCAAACAUCAAAAAUUAUAAAAGAUACAUAAUGAAAUCUCUGCCUGCCCCUAUUCCUCAUCUGCCCAGUAAAAAUCUUCAUUUCACCCUCGAACUCCCAAAACUGGGUAGUUUUUCCUAUCCUUUUUACAUGGUAGCAUAAUAUAUACACUUCUUUGAACUUUGCCUUUUUCAUCUAAUAAUAUGACUUGGAGAUCUUUUUUUAGUUACUUGACAUCCAAUAAGAAUUAUUCUUCAUCAAGAAUAAGAAUAUUUACUAGGAGCCUUUAGGAAUUGCUGGGAACUUGCAAAGAUGGUAUAAUAUGGAAAAGUUGAGAAGUUUCUUGGGGUUGGGCUUGAUGUAGAUGGAGCUAGGCAUCUUACCUUUCUCAGAAGAGAUUUAAUGACUGGUAGAAAUACUGAAGAGGAAGAAAAAAGGAUAAGAGCAAAUCUGCCAAGGCCAUAGCAUGGGAAAAAAGGAAAAAUAAGGGCCGAGAGCCAACUGUGCCAAUGUCUAGAGUGGAAGCCACACAGCCUGAGUUAAGAGCAAGACAGUUGACCAGGGCAUAGGUGGCCGGUAGGGCAAGGGUAAGGUUAUGGCCUCUGAGCAGCCCUAGAUCAACACCAGAUAGAAAGGAAGACAGGAAUGUCCAGAUGGCCCCAGUCACAGGAGGGAAUGCUGGAUCUCUAUUCAGAGAGAGAGGGAUCAAAGCACAGGCUUUGAAGUCAGUGUUGCAUUCAAACCCCAUGUGAGUCAAGCACUUUAGGUAAGUUACUUCAUUUCCCUAAGUUUUCUUAUCUGUGAAAUAAGGAUAAUAAUAACAACCACUUAUAGGGCGGUCCUAGAGAUCAAAUGACGUAACCUAUAAAAAGUGCUCAGCAUAGUGUCUGGCACAUCUCAGUGGAUCAGUACAUUUGCAGUUGCAUUAUAACUAUUAAGGUUAAUAGGGGAAAUUUCCUAGAGGCCAGAGAGAGGGAGACACCAGCCACGAGGUGAGAAAAGUUUCUGCCUCAGAUGGAGUCGUGACCUCAGGGCCUCGGGUGAGGAGGGCUUCUUCUCCCUUCUUCUCCGAGGACUAGGAACCAGGAGGCUCCAAGAGGUGAUGGAGUGAGCACAGCCUGAGGGUCAAGCAGGAACGACCUUACUUGCCACAUGAGGUGAAGGUCACUAGCAAGAAGUGACUAGUUCUUCCUGGGACUGGAGAGGUAGACAAUGACUUUAAAAAUGGUACGCCUGGAAGAGGAAUGAUUUUUGCUUACAGCAGAUUACCUAAAGUUGUUUGGAGAAUUGAAUUAAGUACAAUAACUGCAAAUGCUGAUGCAAUAGGAAAAAAACAUUAUUGUUAACACACACACCCACCCGCCGUCUUUGAAAGGCAUGUGUCAGCACUGCCUGGUGGUCUUAUGGUUAGGAUUUGGCACUGUCUCAUGAAAAGCUUGUGCCUAAUGUGGGCUCUGAUAGGCGUGGGCAUGGAAGUCUGGAGAAAGAAGCUGGGGAAGGGAUGAACUGUUCUGCGUAAUCUAAGGAGGAUGCUUGUGAGGCUGAAGCACAGCGGGGAAGAAAGGACCUCAGGGAACAAACGUGUCUGAUGAGGACUGAGAAGUGGUCCACCCUUCCUGAUAUCCCUACAAAAUCUCCAGUGAAAUCCACCUAAUCCUGUGGUGUGAACGAAUCCUUUCUGGGGGAAGGUAAGAGGUGCCGAGCUCUGUGUUAAUAUUGGUGAAAGGUGAAAACAGAGACUGCAUCUGGGGAAAGCUGCCAUCAAAUUCCCUGCCAUUCUUUAUCCUGUGACCAUCCGUCCAUCCCUUCAAUCAGGCCACCGCGGGGCUUGCUUCUUUGACUGCAGAUGCAUCAGGCAGAAGGUUGAGGAGAAGAAAUGCUCCUGAGGCUAUUCAUUCAAGCAACAAAUAUUAAUUUAACACUUAUCACGUGCUGGCUGCUGUGCCACGAACCAAGGACACAAUGAUAACAGAGAUAUGGUCUUUGUUAUCAAGACACUCUCAGUCUAACGAGGAAGAAGGAUGAGAAACAGCGUGACAAGUGAUGUGAUGGGAUCAUGCAGAAGGAGCUAUGGGAAAACAUAAGGAUGGUGCCAGGAAAGACCCUAAAACAAAGAGAAAACCCAGCGCUGAUGAGAAAAUCAUAAAUGAGUAAAACGUUACCCUGGAAAACAUUAGUAUUGCCUUUUGAGGUGACCAUCCAAAAUGAAGCAAUUAGACACAACCCUUCAGAGAAAAGGCGGAAGUAUCUGAUUACUAUUCUUUUGUUUUCCUGUUUUCUUCUUUUUUCCCCCACCCAUCUCAUUUCAUGGUUUCUGUAUUUUGUUUCCACAGGAAAUUGCCCCAGAAAGAAAUGAUGAAAAGUACUAGAGAACUGGUGGAUUUUCAAAAGCAGGUUGAAAGGAAAGAGGUGGUUAAUUAACAAGCAAAGAAUAGAUUCUUGAGAUGACAGUUUACUUCUAUCCAAGCACAAUGAAGCAGGUAGCCAAACGGACUUCAUAAUGAGCUUGCUUCUUUACUAUUAUUUUAAAUAAUAGAAUUUGCAUAAGCCCAGAGAUAAGGAUUUCAGAACAAAGAAAUGUAUGUAUUUUGGAUGUAUUAUUUAUUCUUUUUUCAAUUAUUUUAUUGAGGUCAUAAUGGUUUAUAACGUUGUAUCAUUUCAGGUGUACAUUAUUAUUUAUCAAUUUCUGUAUAGACUGCAUCGUGCUCACCACUAAUAGUCUAAUUUUUCUCCGUCAUCAUAUAUAUGUGCCCCUUUAUCCCUUUCACCCAUUCCCCCAAUCCCCUUCCCCUCUGGUAACUACUAAUCUAUUCUCUUUAUCUUUGCAUUUGUUUAUCUUCCACAUAUAAGUGAAAUCAUAUGGUGUUUGUCUUUCUCUGUCUGGCUGAUUUCACUUAACGUAAUACCCUCAAGUUCCAUCCAUGUUGUUCAAAUGGGAUGAUUUUGACAUUUUUGUGCUUGAGUAGUAUUCCAUUGUAUACAUAUAUCACAUCUUCUUUAUCCCUUCAUCAGUCAUUGGGCACUUGGGUUGCUUCCGCGUCUUGGCUAUUGUGAAUAAUGCUGCAAUGAACAUAAGGGUGCAUAGAUCUCUUUGAAUUGUUGAUUUCAAGUUCUUUGGAUAAAUACCCAGUAGUGGAAUAGCUGAGUCAUGUGGUAUUUCAAUUUUUAAUUUUUUUUUUUAAAGAUUUUAUUUUUUCCUUUUUCUCCCCAAAGCCCCUGGGUACAUAGUUGUGUAUUCUUCGUUGUGGGUUCUUCUAGUUGUGGCAUGUGGGACGCUGCCUCAGCGUGGUCUGAUGAGCAGUGCCAUGUCCGCGCCCAGGAUUCGAACUAACGAAACACUGGGCCGCCUGCUGCGGAGCGCGCGAACUUAACCGCUCGGCCACGGGGCCAGCCCCUCAAUUUUUAAUUUUUUGAGAAAUCUCCAUAGUGUUUUCCACAGCGGCUGCACCAGUUUGCACUCCCACCAGCAGCAUAUGAGGGUUCCCUUUUCUCCACAUCCUCUCUGACAUUUGUUAUUUUUUAUCUUGUUAAUUAUAGCCAUUCUGACAGGUGUAAGGUGAUAUCUCAUUUUGGUUUUAAUUUUGCAUUUCCCUAAUCAUUAGCAAUGCUGAGCAUCCCUUCAUAUCCCCGUUGGCCAUCUGUAUUGGAUGCAUUAUUUUAUAUAGAGUACUAUUAUCAGUAAGAAAAGGGAGACGAAGUGACUAAAUUAAUGAGACAUUUGAUAAUUACCAUAACAAAAUUUAUAUAUUUCAGAUGAGCAGUGAUCUUUGACAUACAGGUUUGAGAAGAUAUAUAUUUAUUUCAGCAUUUCUGAAACUGAUCAAAACAUUUUUGAGAUUUUCUUUAGAGUCAGUUGCAGUUUAAACCAAAAACCAGCAACGUGCUUAUACACUACUUAGAAGUGGUGGUGCAGUGGGAAGAGUCAGAAAGACUAAGUUCCAGUCCUGGCUCUGCCAUUUAUUAACUGUGUAACCUUGGAAAAGUUUAGCCUCUCUGUGUUACAAUACCCUCAUCUCUAAAACGGGAAUAAUAAUGUCAAAAUAUUCAAAAUUUCUAGGAGUAAUGAGAUGAUGCAAGUAUCUAGCAUUGUGAUUGGCACAUAGUAGCUGCUCAAUAAAUCUUCCCUCUCCUCCCUACUUAUGGUCAAGUUUUAUUUUUUUUAAGGAUUGGCACCUGAGCUAACAUCUGUUGCCAAUCUUCUUUUUUUUUUUUUCUUUUCUUCUUCUUCUCCCCAAAACCCCCUAGUAUGUAGUUGUAUAUUCUAGCUGUAGGUCCUUCCAGUUCUGCUAUGUGGGACACCGCCCCAGCAUGGCUUGAUGAGUGGUGCCAUAUCCAUGCCCAGGAUCUGAACCAGUGAAACCCAGGGCCGCUGAAGUAGAGCAUGCAAACUUAACCACUCGGCCACAGGGCCGGCCCCUGUCAAGUUUUAUUUUGACCAAAAAUAUUUUCAGACAAUUUAUUAUUCUUAAAUAUUAAAGCUUUUCCCUCAUUGAGGAUCUGUAAAGAAUAUGCUAUCAAUUCAAUUUCUAGGAAUUUAUUUCUAGAAAUACUCAAACCAAUGUGCAAUGAAUAUUUAUAAGAAUAUUAAUUACAGCAUUGUUCAUAAGACAGAAAGAAUUAGAAAAACAGCCCAGUGUUCAUCAGUAGACGAUUGCUUAAAUAAAUCAGUGAAUGGUUAUGCAGUCUUUAAUCGAAUGUUAUGUCUAUACUAACAUGGGAUGAUAUCUCAAAGACCUAUUUCUCAAGCAUGUUGUUGAAUAUUAUGCAUAAUAUGUUCCCAUUCCUGUUAAAAAUGGUAUGUGUAAACAUAUACAUUUAAAAAACCCUGGAAGGGCCAGCCCUGGUGGCCUAGUGGUUAAUUUCAGUGCACUGGGUUUCAGCGGCCUGGGUUCGGUUCCUGUAUAUGCACCUACACCACUCAUCUGUCAGUAGACAUGCUGUGGUGGCGACUCACGUACAAAAAGAGGAAGAUUGGCAGUGGAUGUUAGCCUAGGGCAAAUGUUCCUUAGCAAAAGAAAACGCUGGGAGUAUAAGCCCUAAACUGUCAACAGUAUUUAGUGUGGGGGAUGAUGGUGGAAGACUUUCAUUUUUUAAAUUGUAUGUUUGUGUAAUAUUCAACUGUUUGCCAUAAGUAUGUACAUGUAUUACUUUUGUAAUUAGAAAACAAGGGAAAAAGAGGGAGGGAAAUAAUACCUCCAGAUUCUGAAGAAAAUGCCAGUAAAAGGGAAUUAUAAAUGUUUUAAGCAAUGGCUAUAUUCAGAAGUAGUUACUCGGCACUGGGAAUCUAAUGCUCAUCUGGAGAGCUUAUGGAUCCUGGCAUACUGCGAAAGAAUAAGGCCCCCCAGUUUAGAGCCAUAUCUAAUGUUAUGACUACUACACACACUCUAGUUUCAUACCGAAACUACAUAUAUAAUAUGUAUAUAUUAUAUAUAGAGUACAGUUAUGCUUUCUGUGUCAGUGCUGUAUGAUUUAGGGGUCCUUGGGAAGGCCUCCCUGCCAAUAGCUCCCUUAGUAGCUUGUUAGGAUAUCAGAAAGCCCAUCGUUAGGGAGUUUAAUUUCUCCAGAUUAAGGGAUUAUCUGACCUUAAAAUUCUGCACUGAGGCCCCCUCUUAUGUGCUCCUACAGCAUGCUGUGUACCUCUGUCAGAGGGUUUAUAUGGAUUAUAAUUGUCUAUUUUCUGUUUUCCCAAGACUCAGCUCCUUCUAGAAGGAACUAUGUCUCGAUAGCUCUGUUCCCCCAUGCUUUCCACAAGGCCAGGCGCAAAGAAGGCUCUCAGGAUGCUCAUCAAUGGAACGAAUGGUCCUAAAGACGUCACAUAAAGACUGAACCUGUUGUUUCUACUCCAACUAUUGUGACGUUGCAUUGAGGAAGUCUAUGUGGUGUUUUGUAAACUAUGAACCACUGUACAAAUGCACAUUAUUUCUAUUGGAAUGCAAAUUUUUUUCUCAGAUAAUUUCCAAGGUGUGUAUUUUGAUGAGUGGAGGAUUGAUAUCGCGUCUUCUCUACCUGACAAUGGUAAAAAUUUCUGAUCCGACCUCUACCUGCUUGCAUCCCAAAGAGUUCAACUUCUCACAGCAAGAAGGAGCCCUGGGGACAGAAAUUAACAAGGAAAUGUCCCCCUUCUGUAAAAACAGGCAUGAGUGAAUGUUGGGCCAGGAUUACAUGGGAGCAAGGUGCAGGAAAACACAUAGAGCCUGUCCUGACAGCUUCAAACAGCACUUUUCAUCCAUCCCAGGCUUUGGCCAAUGACACUUCUUUAUAUGAGAUGGAGUCUUUGGCUCAGGGCUUUUGUUCUUGUGAAAGGCAUGGCUUUGCUCUCUAGGUUGCAAAGAAAAUGUUUUAAUACUGGAAUUUUUGUCAUUAGUUUCCCAGGAAACCAUUUUGGUUCUGAUGCUAAUUUGUGUACCUGACUGUUUUAAUUGAACAUGGGGCCUAGGGGAGGAGAAGCAGAGGGAAAGACUGCUUUGGGAUACUGCCCACGAAGAGGGUGCCAGGCUGGCAGUGCCAAGUCGACUCCAGCUCCACCCUCCACUAGGUGACAGUUGGCACCAGCCUUCUCAAUUGAGGUCACCAAAGUGUGAGGCCAGGAGAUGGAGACUCAUUUCUUUUCUUAGUUCUGACCCCAAGAGAGUAGGGGCUGGGCCCAGCAAACACUCACUGUGGUCUGAGUUAGAGGGAGCCAGCCGACAGGCCUGAGCAAGACAAACAGCUCAUGUCUUGGAAGUGUUCUAAGUUUCCUGCUUAAGACAUUUUUGUAUCUCCUCCCUCAGAAGGAAUGAUGUCCCCAGAGGGUGUGGAUACCUGGAGCUUGCCUCUGCCAAGGCAUCUACAAAUGAACCGUGUUUACAUUUCUGUGGCUUUUUCUUUUAGUGACUAGAGCCUCCGUGACGAUGGCAUUGGAGGGUGUGGCUUUGCACACCAAAGAAUGCAGCACUCUCACCACGCCUUCAGUGUGCCCUAAAGAGGGAACAGAGUACCUGCGCACUUCAGCUCCAACCGCCUGGUGGAGAAGGAGGCUUGUUAGCUGCUGACAGUCCUGAGCCUCCUCACUGGCCGCACAUGGCUCGCACGCAGGACCCUCACGGUCAGACCUGGCCUCACAGCCCUGCACAGUGCACGAGGAGACCAAAGCUAACAAGGUCUUGGUAAAAACCAUUCCAGUGCCAUGUGGCCACCAAGAAUGAACCCUGGACUAGAAUGCAGCUUCCUUCAUGUGCAAAGUUUCUCCCAUAGAGCUGGAGAGCAUCCUCUCUAUUCUAGAACCGUGCUGUCCAAUGUGGUAACCACUAACCCUGUGUGCCUGUCGAGUGCUGGAAAUGUGGCUGGUCUGGUUUGUGACAUGCUGUUAAGUGUAAAAUACACACUGGAAUUUGGAAGACUUGAUAUGAGAAAAGAAUGUAAAAUAUCUCAAUAGGUUUUACAUGGAUUACACAUUGACAUGAUAAAAUUUUGGACAGAUUGAGUAAAUAAAAAUGUAUCAGAAUUAA
rnacentral:lncRNA from 1 species